rnacentral:rRNA from 1 species
GACGAACGCUGGCGGCGUGCCUAAUACAUGCAAGUAGGACGCAGUUGCGAACGGGAGAGGAACGCGUAGGUAACUACCUAUUAGAGGGGGAUAACUAUUGGAAACGAUAGCUAAUACCGCAUACUAGUAGAUGGACCUGCGUUGUAUUUGCUAGUAGGUAGGGUAAUGGCCUACCUAGGCAAUGAUACAUAGUCGGCUCGGGGUGGUGUACGUCCACACUGGGACUGGGACACGGCCCAAGCUCCUUCGGGGAGCCGCAGUAGGGAAACUUCGGCAAUGGGGGGAACCCUGACCGAGCCACGCCGCGUGGUUUAAGAAAGUUUUCGGGUCGUUAAGCUCUGUUGUUAAGGGAGCGUUACUUGACCAAGAAGGGCCGGCUAACUACGUGCCAGCAGCCGCGGUAAUAC